rnacentral:rRNA from 1 species
CCUACGGGAGGCAGCAGUGGGGAAUAUUGGGCAAUGGGCGCAAGCCUGACCCAGCAACGCCGCGUGAAGGAAGAAGGCUUUCGGGUUGUAAACUUCUUUUGUCAGGGAAGAGUAGAAGACGGUACCUGACGAAUAAGCCACGGCUAACUACGUGCCAGCAGCCGCGGUAAUACGUAGGUGGCAAGCGUUGUCCGGAUUUACUGGGUGUAAAGGGCGUGUAGCCGGGUUGACAAGUCAGUUGUGAAAUCCUGCGGCUUAACCGCAGAACUGCAUUUGAAACUGUUGAUCUUGAGUACUGGAGGGGCAGACGGAAUUCCUGGUGUAGCGGUGAAAUGCGUAGAUAUUAGGAAGAACACCAGUGGCGAAGGCGGUCUGCUGGACAGCAACUGACGGUGAGGCGCGAAAGCGUGGGGAGCAAACAGGAUUAGAUACCCCUGUAGUC